rnacentral:rRNA from 2 species
GAUGAACGCUGGCGGCGUGCCUAAUACAUGCAAGUCGAACGAGUUCUGAUUAUUGAAAGGUGCUUGCAUCUUGAUUUAAUUUUGAACGAGUGGCGGACGGGUGAGUAACACGUGGGUAACCUGCCCUUAAGUGGGGGAUAACAUUUGGAAACAGAUGCUAAUACCGCAUAAAUCCAAGAACCGCAUGGUUCUUGGCUGAAAGAUGGCGUAAGCUAUCGCUUUUGGAUGGACCCGCGGCGUAUUAGCUAGUUGGUGAGGUAACGGCUCACCAAGGCAAUGAUACGUAGCCGAACUGAGAGGUUGAUCGGCCACAUUGGGACUGAGACACGGCCCAAACUCCUACGGGAGGCAGCAGUAGGGAAUCUUCCACAAUGGACGCAAGUCUGAUGGAGCAACGCCGCGUGAGUGAAGAAGGCUUUCGGGUCGUAAAACUCUGUUGUUGGAGAAGAAUGGUCGGCAGAGUAACUGUUGUCGGCGUGACGGUAUCCAACCAGAAAGCCACGGCUAACUACGUGCCAGCAGCCGCGGUAAUACGUAGGUGGCAAGCGUUAUCCGGAUUUAUUGGGCGUAAAGCGAGCGCAGGCGGUUUUUUAAGUCUGAUGUGAAAGCCCUCGGCUUAACCGAGGAAGUGCAUCGGAAACUGGGAAACUUGAGUGCAGAAGAGGACAGUGGAACUCCAUGUGUAGCGGUGAAAUGCGUAGAUAUAUGGAAGAACACCAGUGGCGAAGGCGGCUGUCUGGUCUGUAACUGACGCUGAGGCUCGAAAGCAUGGGUAGCGAACAGG